CAGAAGCGGACUUGAGUUUGUUUUCUUUGCAUUUUAACUUCCUCCUUCAAGGAAAAUCUGCCUACAUGGAAGACUUUUGCCCUAUUACUUCACCAACCACACAUCUCUCUGUGUCCAAGUGUAUUUUCAGUCCUAAACUCCAUGGAGCCCAGGCUGUGCUGCACUGGCAGCCCCUCAUCACAUGCCUGAGACAGUGAAAAAACAGUGUUCUUGGGAGCAGAGGUGAGUUGCUCUGAUCAGGAACUUGCUGCUCCACUUGGUGUCUGUACAUACUCUGACAGCAUAGAAAUGGAGAGCCAAGGGAUGGGAAGGAACCAGAUCUGACAACUUAAGCAUCCAGAUGGAGGCCCUGGCUUUCCCCCAUCCCAUUCCUGAAGCAACAAUCUUUUGGACUUCGUCUGGGCGUCUUCUGGGCUUUUGAUCCUUGGACUUCAACUCCUUCCCAGCUGGGACCUGAGCCAGCGAGAGUGGAUGAGAAACACGUGCGAGAGGAACUGCAUGCUCAUUACUAUUUUGUUCUCUACUGAAUUAAGCAAGAAGUAGAUCCUAAAGCUCACCAUGCAAAAGCAGCUUUGAGAACAAUGGAGACAGCAACAUCAGUCAUUGUGCAUAUGUCCAAGUGUGCUGUAUGACAGAGAACUACUGCAUCACAUCCUUCCAACACAGGAUGCAGCACCACAUUGGAUGGCAGAGAAGGCAGAGUGCAAAAACUCAGAGAUCACAGCUGGUCUGACUGUCGUGUCCUACUAUGUCCCAUAUUAAUGUCAAUGCUUAUUGCAUUCAGUAGAGACACUGCUUGGUGUUUGUCUUUGCCAGAGCAUCUCAUGGUGUUUUUUUUUUUAUUUUAUUUUAUUUUGAUAGUGCUGUUCUGCUCCAGACCUGAUUUUCUCUCCUACUUUGGAAACUGCUAUGUAAGGGGGUUGACUAAUGCAUGCAAAAGGGGCAGAGGGAGCCUAGAGCUACCACUGGCAGCUGUGUGCUCAAGGGCAGGAGAUGGUAAUUUGAGAGAAGCAGGGAAAGUAAAUAAUCAUAAUAGGAAAUUUAAGAUCAGUCUGAAUAGGGAGUAAAUGAGAGUUUGGGUGUGGAACAUGAGGAGGGGUCACGUGUUUAUGGCACUGAAUUUAACAGCUCAUGAAGGACCAGUACAGGUUAGGGGAUGACCUGCUGGAGAGGAGCUCUACAGAGAGGGACCUGGGGAU